rnacentral:lncRNA from 1 species
AAAUAAUAAAAUGUUGGGAUUGAAUCUGUGUUCUGUUAUUUGUUGGCUGUUGACAUGAGGUGAGUCUUGUUUAAGCGUCUUCAUAGGUACAUUUUCUUAACCUUAAAAUGGCUCCUCGAGGUACAAGUUACAGUCUUCCAGAUUGUAACUGACCCUGCUGUCAGUGGUCAGGAGCAGGAGAUGCUCAGGAAGGAACUAACCUGUCCAAGGUCACAGCUGAUAAAAAGCAGAGCCAGGAAUUGAAAAGCCAGACCCGUUCGUUGAUCCCAAGGACUAUUUAGUUAACCAGAAGGCCAGGCCCUGAAGAGCUGAAAUGUGUCUAGAAGCCACGUGGCUUUGACUUCCCAAAGGUGAGAGGAGACCAGAGAAGGAUGUGUUGAGCGGAAAACUUGCUGAAACAUGAGGCAAAUGACAUUCCGUCAGUCCCACAUCCAGGCGCCUUGCCUUCCAGCCUGCCCCAGGGAUGCCUGCUGCAAGUUAGCUCCUACUGUGUCUGAGUAUGGUGGUGCUUACCUCUAGUCCCAGCACUCAGAGGCAAGUGGGUAGCAGUGAGUUCAAGGCCAGUCUAGUCUACAUAGUUCUAGGCCACCUGAGACUACACGGUGAAACCCUGUCUCAGAAAACCAAAUCAACCAACAAUAUAAACCCCACGACAGCUGGACAGGGGGUGGUGCAUACCUUUUAUUCCAACAUUCUGUGCAACUCUGUGAGUUCGAGGUCAGCCUGAUCUCACAGAGUGAGUUCCAGGACAGCCAGGGCUACACAGAGAACCCUGUCUCAGAAGACAAGACAAAACAAACCCACAACAAACGUUAGCUUCCACAGGGGGAUAUGACUCUUGGAAAUGUUCAGAAUCCUGGGAAGCUGUGUGUGUUUCUCCUGAGAAGAUGAAAAUAGAAAUGUCAGGAUUCGUGGGGGCGCGAACAUGUUGUUUGGUUAGAAAUAUCUCUUCUAUAAGCCUGUCACUCCCACUAGAAAAUGUUACUAAACAUCAGUGCAGGAGUAGGAGGAGUUGUCUGUCCUUGUGCUCUCUGCCUACUUUUUGACUAUCAGCACUGCCUGGCCCUUACAUGCAGGUGGAUUCUGGAAGACUCCGUGACAAACCUCCCAACCUAGCCUACUUGUGAGAAAUCUGUGUAAAACCCUCAGGGGAAGAGUUAUUCUCUGGUUUUUGUUUUUGUUUUGAAGUAUCGAUAAUGCAGAUGUUUGAUGAGGAACCAGACAUGUUGUAGAGGUCCACACUUAGAGCAAUGUUGAGGAGCCUCAGUCCACACACACCUCAGCCUCCCCAGUCCACCUGCGUAUAUGACAGACGGGAAGUCUGGGGUCCACGAAAGCCAAGUAAGUUGUCUGUGUCACUUGGUCUCUAAACAAAAACCAAAUUUGUCUCCAUGGGCUGGCCUUGUCACAUAUAAGGGCCUUACCUGCCCUCCCGAGUCUUGCUGUUUUAUCCCCACCAAGGCCUCAGAAUGGGCAGCAUUUGUGGAGUGACCCUUCUUUACAUACGAGGACAUGGUAGUUCAGGAAGUCUGCAGUAGGAAUGGGAUGCCAGACUUGGGCUGGGAGGCCAGGGGCUAUCACGUGAAUGUUCCCAGUCUUCCUCACCCAGUGUCCCUGACUCUGCAGUCUCUGAUUGGUCCCCUGCCAUCCACAGAUGGACACCUAUCUGUGUCUGCAGAGAGCAGCCUUUACUUUGGGUUUUAUGGCCACCAGGGGCCUUAGGAAACACGCGCUUGCACACAAGACACAUCCCUCUCUGGGAAGACACCUCCCCCUACAGAGGGCCCCUGUGGGAGCUGUUUUUCUGAAGGAUAGGAACCAGGGUGGAGGAGUGAAGUAGUGGAGGCAGUAGCUGUUUUAGCUCACAAGAUUAAUUACUAUUAAAGGUUCAAAGAUUUUAUGAGUUGCUUACUAAAUAGCC